ACUUAAAUUGAAGAGUUUGAUCAUGGCUCAGAUUGAACGCUGGCGGCAGGCCUAACACAUGCAAGUCGAGCGGUAGCACAGAGAGCUUGCUCUCGGGUGACGAGCGGCGGACGGGUGAGUAAUGUCUGGGAAACUGCCUGAUGGAGGGGGAUAACUACUGGAAACGGUAGCUAAUACCGCAUAACGUCGCAAGACCAAAGUGGGGGACCUUCGGGCCUCAUGCCAUCAGAUGUGCCCAGAUCUAACACAUGCAAGUCGAGCGGUAGCACAGAGAGCUUGCUCUCGGGUGACGAGCGGCGGACGGGUGAGUAAUGGGAUUAGCUAGUAGGUGGGGUAACGGCUCACCUAGGCGACGAUCCCUAGCUGGUCUGAGAGGAUGACCAGCCACACUGGAACUGAGACACGGUCCAGACUCCUACGGGAGGCAGCAGUGGGGAAUAUUGCACAAUGGGCGCAAGCCUGAUGCAGCCAUGCCGCGUGUGUGAAGAAGGCCUUCGGGUUGUAAAGCACUUUCAGCGGGGAGGAAGGCGGUG
rnacentral:rRNA from 1 species